CGGCUCUUUAACCUCCGGCGGCCUGCAGCUGGGCCCGCUUGAGCAGCGCGUCCGUCUUCUCGGCGUGGCUCCCGACGGCGAGCGGCGAGAGCGCGGCGUCGAGCGAAGCGAGAGCGGAGGUCUGCUGCAGCUGCGAGGAGGCGGCGUCGUCGGUUCUGCUGCUGCUGCGAGGAGCGGAGGGCCGAUCUGCUGCUGCUGCGAGGAGGGUCUGCUGCUGCUGCGAGGAGGGCCGCGUCGUCGGUGAAGCAACGGCCAAGGAGAAGCCGGGGAGGGGGAGAUGGCACCGGCGUGGCGCCGCACACGCACAGUUGGUCAAAAAGCUUGUGCUUUCAUUUUUCGCGUGGGGGACAAAAGCUCCCUACUUUUCU
rnacentral:lncRNA from 1 species